rnacentral:rRNA from 1 species
GAGUACGACCGCAAGGUUGAAACUCAAAGGAAUUGACGGGGGCCCGCACAAGCGGUGGAGCAUGUGGUUUAAUUCGAUGCAACGCGAAGAACCUUACCUACUCUUGACAUCCAGAGAACUUAGCAGAGAUGCUUUGGUGCCUUCGGGAACUCUGAGACAGGUGCUGCAUGGCUGUCGUCAGCUCGUGUUGUGAAAUGUUGGGUUAAGUCCCGCAACGAGCGCAACCCUUAUCCUUUGUUGCCAGCGGUUAGGCCGGGAACUCAAAGGAGACUGCCAGUGAUAAACUGGAGGAAGGUGGGGAUGACGUCAAGUCAUCAUGGCCCUUACGAGUAGGGCUACACACGUGCUACAAUGGCAUAUACAAAGAGAAGCGACCUCGCGAGAGCAAGCGGACCUCAUAAAGUAUGUCGUAGUCCGGAUUGGAGUCUGCAACUCGACUCCAUGAAGUCGGAAUCGCUAGUAAUCGUGGAUCAGAAUGCCACGGUGAAUACGUUCCCGGGCCUUGUACACACCGCCCGUCACACCAUGGGAGUGGGUUGCAAAAGAAGUAGGUAGCUUAACCUUCGGGAGGGCGCUUACCACUUUGUGAUUCAUGACUGGG